rnacentral:rRNA from 1 species
UACGGGGGGGGCAAGCGUUGUUCGGAAUUACUGGGCGUAAAGGGCUCGUAGGCGGCCAACUAAGUCAGACGUGAAAUCCCUCGGCUUAACCGGGGAACUGCGUCUGAUACUGGAUGGCUUGAGUUCGGGAGAGGGAUGCGGAAUUCCAGGUGUAGCGGUGAAAUGCGUAGAUAUCUGGAGGAACACCGGUGGCGAAGGCGGCAUCCUGGACCAACACUGACGCUGAGGAGCGAAAGCCAGGGGAGCAAACGGG